CUGGCGGCAGCCUACACAUGCAAGUCGAACGCCCCGCAAGGGGAGUGGCAGACGGGUGAGUAACGCGUGGGAACAUGCCCUUUGGUUCGGAAUAACUCAGGGAAACUUGAGCUAGUACCGGAUAAGCCCGAGAGGGGAAAGAUUUAUCGCCGAAGGAUUGGCCCGCGUCCGAUUAGCUAGUUGGUGAGGUAACGGCUCACCAAGGCGACGAUCGGUAGCUGGUCUGAGAGGAUGAUCAGCCACACUGGGACUGAGACACGGCCCAGACUCCUACGGGAGGCAGCAGUGGGGAAUAUUGGACAAUGGGCGCAAGCCUGAUCCAGCCAUGCCGCGUGAGUGAUGAAGGCCCUAGGGUUGUAAAGCUCUUUCGCCAGGGACGAUAAUGACGGUACCUGGAUAAGAAGCCCCGGCUAACUUCGUGCCAGCAGCCGCGGUAAU
rnacentral:rRNA from 1 species